rnacentral:piRNA from 1 species
UGAAGUCAGCACUGUCGCUUUUCCUU